CAGUAGCCGCGGUAACACGGAGGGUGCAAGCGUUAAUCGGAAUUACUGGGCGUAAAGCGUGCGUAGGCGGUUCGUUAAGUCUGUUGUGAAAGCCCCGGGCUCAACCUGGGAAUGGCAAUGGAUACUGGCGAGCUAGAGUGUGUCAGAGGAUGGUGGAAUUCCCGGUGUAGCGGUGAAAUGCGUAGAGAUCGGGAGGAACAUCAGUGGCGAAGGCGGCCAUCUGGGACAACACUGACGCUGAGGCACGAAAGCGUGGGGAGCAAACAGGAUUAGAUACCCGUGUAGUCCCUGUCUCUUAUAC
rnacentral:rRNA from 1 species